rnacentral:lncRNA from 1 species
UUUACGAGAAGAAUAAUUGUAUAUCUGUUUUUCUUAGUUAAGUGAUUCAGAAUAUGUAUGUAUCUGGGGAGGUGCAAAUGCUUCUAAAUUUUGUAUAUUUGGUGUAUAUGGUUUUGAAAAUAUUUGGCUGAGGUUAUAAUUCUUUUUUUUUGGUAUUUCAGGUCUAUUUUUAGUGACUAUAUUUUUUCCUUUAGAUGUACCUGCAGCUGUAAUUGAAGUUACGUCANN